rnacentral:SRP_RNA from 1 species
GCCGGGCGUGGUGGUGGACACCUGUAAUCCCAGCUACUCUGGAGGCUGAGGCAGGAGAAUCACUUGAACCCAGGAGGCAGAGUCUGCAGUGAGCCGAGAUCACGCCACUGCAGUCCAGCCUGGGUGACAGAGUGAGACUCUGUCUUAA